rnacentral:lncRNA from 7 species
GUGUUAUUCGAGGGAAUGGAAGUCUGUGUACUCACCCACUUCGAGGUGAACAGCUUGACAGAGAGAGGCAAGUGGAUAAAGAAGCGAGCAUAUAUGGCUGCCAGCAUGUGGCAGACAGAGAUUCAAAUGCUGGACUGGCUGUCACCAAACCAGUGACAGAAUUUGCACCAGAAAUACUGAAGUGGAGCUUGUAAGUGACCGCUUGUGGCAGUACCGUGGAGAACAGCAUCACAGAGCAGAGUCAGACCAGACUCCUAGAAUAUCCUGAGUUGGAAAGGACCCGUAAGGAUGACAGAAACCAAAUGAAACAAGUCUACAUAUUCAUUAAUCCUACUUACAAUCACAAGCAUAUGCACAAGGAUUUUGCUGAGGAUGUGUUAAGUUGUGCUGGCGCACUCUCAUGCAGCGUUGUUGCAGUCAGUGGCACUGCUGCUCACCUCCCAGAGACAACGGUAUCAGGCUCUUUAUAAGUGAGGCCUCCUAAGCCACCAUGAACAGAAAGAAAGAACAACAAACUUUUACACAGAAGAAUACAAUAGUCCAAACUCUCAUGUGACCUGCAUCACUACGCCAAAUACUUCAAAAUGCUACAAAUAUCUAACAGUGGGAACGCAUUUCCAUCUCUUCUCACAGCAAAAGUUAAUGCACCUCCAGAUACAUCAAUCGCAUCAGCAGCCCAAUCUGACGAAGCACACUGCAAUGGCUGUCACCACUGUCACCCCUCCUCCUCUGCACAGAGUGGUGCAGCUGCUGAGCCCAACCCAGCCCAGGCCCUGCAGCAGCCCGGCUCUGUGGGACACAGCUGCCAUGGAGAUGUGGAGCCACCGCAGUGAGAACGUCACCACUAAGUGCAAGCAGUCAAUUCAACUACAGCAAGAGAGCUGGCACUGCCUAAGAUAACUACCUGUGUGUUUUGCACCAAAUUUUUGAGGUUACUUCACCUCCUCUUAUUGAAGAUCUGGUAAUUUCUAAAGUUUUGAAGGCAAGGCUGCAUUACCAAACAGUGAGUGUCAACAGGAACCAUCCCUUCAAGUCUUAUUUAUGAAAGUGUAGAAAGAGUACAAAGAAAGAAGUCAUGCUCUUUGCAAAUCAUAAAAAAAAAGGCCACAAAAGAUUUCUGUAUUCAACCUGAGGUUGCAACAACACCAAACAAAUUAUAUAUACUUUAUCAUAUAGCAGCUGUAAAGGCUUUAAACGUGAUCCAUGUCCAUAUGAACAUCAAGUCUUAAUAAUGCCCAUCAUAUGGCGGCUAAAAAGGGUGCACCGAAUCACUGCAAAAGAGCGGUGCAUACAGUGGUAAGCUGAGCACAAUGAGACCCAUCAGCUUCCUAGUCACGGUAAUCUUACAGCACGGAUGGAAAAGGUCAGCAUAGAUGGAUCAAACUAGAAUGAUUUGUAUAAUAAUACUCAGUUCUUACGUCACGUUUCUCAGCAGUACAAAGCACAAAAGAAGUCGAUGCCGUUAUUCCCAUUUUACCUAUGGAAAACUGAGCACAUGGGAAAGAAACUGAGUUAAAACUCCCAUAGAGAGGCUUGAAAUACAGAAUAUUUAACAGACCACAGACAGCAUGCUUGCCACUGAAGCAAAUUCAAGAUAAAAACGUGUCAGUGGACACACGCCUGAUUCCCUCAGAACACGAGCACUGUGCUUCUACCAUUGCUUUUCCAUCACUCAGUCACCACUAGUGCUGUUUAUGCUGGAGAAAAAAAUAGUGUUGCUAUUCUUUCAUAUUU